UACGGGGGGAGCAAGCGUUGUUCGGAUUUACUGGGCGUAAAGGGCGCGUAGGCGGCGCAACAAGUCACUUGUGAAAUCUCCGGGCUUAACCCGGAGCGGCCAAGUGAUACUGUCGUGCUAGAGUGCGGAAGGGGCUACUGGAAUUCUCGGUGUAGCGGUGAAAUGCGUAGAUAUUGGGGGGAACACCAGUGGCGAAGGCGGCUACCUGGACGGGCACUGACGCUGAGGCGCGAAAGCGUGGGGAGCAAACAGG
rnacentral:rRNA from 1 species